rnacentral:rRNA from 1 species
UACGUAGGGUGCAAGCGUUAAUCGGAAUUACUGGGCGUAAAGCGUGCGCAGGCGGCUUUGCAAGACAGAUGUGAAAUCCCCGGGCUUAACCUGGGAACUGCGUUUCUAACUGGCAGGCUUGAGUGUGGCAGAGGGGGGUGGAAUUCCACGUGUAGCAGUGAAAUGCGUAGAGAUGUGGAGGAACACCGAUGGCGAAGGCAGCCCCCUGGGCUAACACUGACGCUCAUGCACGAAAGCGUGGGGAGCAAACAGG